rnacentral:misc_RNA from 1 species
GGCAUAAAGCCGAAAAGAAGUGUUGUGGAACGUGCAUGUGCGUACCCAGGGUUUUCUGGUGGAUGGAAGGGACCUUACCUCUAACAAGUUUUAUGACAAAAAUGGAAUCAUAUGGACACUGGAGACGACGGAGCCUACUACCAUAAGAUGCAAGUUUGAUGUAGUGAAUAAAUCAACGCAUCAUGGUGUCCGUCUUAUGAGACAAUAUUACUGGAUUGGGAGCAGGACGAACGUCUACCUAGAUGGAACGUUCAUGAGUAAACCGGUUCUAAAGAACACGUACAACGCAAUGAGGAUCACCGAGAAAGAGUCAGUUUUCAAAUCGAUCGAGCAGCUACUGUUCGCGUACCAAGACUAUGCGUGUGGAAUCUUCAAAGUAACCUUGCUCCACCCUGAUCAAAUGGAUUACCUUGAACUCCGGCUGAAAGAGUCUAUUCUGUCUGAGCCAAAACGACGUUGCAUUGAAAAGUUCGUGGAGCUUUCGAAAGGAGCGAAAAUUACGCCGAUAUAUAGCAGUGCUUGCCGAACAAAACGCAAGCUGUGAGAAACCGCCACAGAUCUAUAAGGUUGAGUACACCAAGUCAAUGUCAAUGCAGUCGUCUGCAACAAUAUUUUGCUACGUAGUUUUGAUGUGUACGUUAAUUUAGUGUGUACAGAAGUAAAGAAGUGUAUUUUAAGUGUAAAAAUGAAAUGCUUGGCCCUCCUGACGAUGAUUCUCCACUCAUAUAUUUCAUUCUUAAUGAAUAAAGA